GCGCCUAUAGCUCAGCGGAUAGAGCACCGGCCUCCGGAGCCGGGUGCGCAGGUUCGAUUCCUGCUAGGCGCACCA
rnacentral:tRNA from 1 species